rnacentral:rRNA from 1 species
GGGGAAACCCAGUGCAAUCCGUUGCACUAUCGUUAACUGAAUACAUAGGUUAACGAGGCGAACCGGGGGAACUGAAACAUCUAAGUACCCCGAGGAAAAGAAAUCAACCGAGAUUCCCCCAGUAGCGGCGAGCGAACGGGGAGCAGCCCGGAGUCUGAAUCAGCUUGUGUGUUAGUGGAACGGUCUGGAAAGUCCGACGGUACAGGGUGAUAGUCCCGUACACGAAAGCACACAUGCUGUGAACUCGAAGAGUAGGGCGGGACACGUGGUAUCCUGUCUGAAUAUGGGGGGACCAUCCUCCAAGGCUAAAUACUCCUGACUGACCGAUAGUGAACCAGUACCGUGAGGGAAAGGCGAAAAGAACCCCGGCGAGGGGAGUGAAAAAGAACCUGAAACCGUGUAC